CACGUAGGGGGCGAGCGUUGUCCGGAUUUAUUGGGCGUAAAGAGCUCGUAGGCGGCUCAGUAAGUCAGGUGUGAAAACUCCAGGCUCAACCUGGAGACGCCACCUGAUACUGCUGUGGCUAGAGUCCGGUAGGGGAGACUGGAAUUCCUGGUGUAGCGGUGAAAUGCGCAGAUAUCAGGAGGAACACCGAUGGCGAAGGCAGGUCUCUGGGCAUUAACUGACGCUGAGGAGCGAAAGCCGUGGGGAGCGAACAGG
rnacentral:rRNA from 1 species